rnacentral:rRNA from 1 species
AACGAACGCUGGCGGCAGGCUUAACACAUGCAAGUCGAGCGCCCCGCAAGGGGAGCGGCAGACGGGUGAGUAACGCGUGGGAAUCUACCCAUCUCUACGGAAUAACGCAUGGAAACGUGUGCUAAUACCGUAUACGUCCUUCGGGAGAAAGAUUAUCGGAGAUGGAUGAGCCCGCGUUGGAUUAGCUAGUUGGUGGGGUAAAGGCCUACCAAGGCGACGAUCCAUAGCUGGUCUGAGAGGAUGAUCAGCCACACUGGGACUGAGACACGGCCCAGACUCCUACGGGAGGCAGCAGUGGGGAAUAUUGGACGAUGGGCGCAAGCCUGAUCCAGCCAUGCCGCGUGAGUGAUGAAGGCCCUAGGGUUGUAAAGCUCUUUCACCGGUGAAGAUAAUGACGGUAACCGGAGAAGAAGCCCCGGCUAACUUCGUGCCAGCAGCCGCCGUAACAC